AAAAAGCUCGUAGUUGGAUCUGGGUCGUAUGGCUAUGUGCCGUCGCUCGUUUCUUUGGCUUGGUUUCGAUCAGGUCAAGGUUGCGGGUCGGUGUCGUGGCUGUGCAGCCUUUAUGCCGUGUCUGUUAUCAGGUGUCAACUUAAUCGGCGGGCUCGCUCGCUGGUUGGAUGGCAUGCUCCCAGAUGUCUUUAAACGGGUGUCGGGGGCGGACGGUGCGUUUACUUUGAACAAAUUUGAGUGCUCAAAGCAGGCUUGUGCCUGAAAAUUCUUGCAUGGAAUAAUGGAAUAGGACUU
rnacentral:rRNA from 1 species